UUAAUGUUAAGUUUGGUGAUUAAAACUUAAUAAGAGUGAAAAAAGGUGUCAAAAGCCAAUUUGGACUUUUCUUCUUAUGAAACCUUUAUUAAAAAAAAAAUAAAAAUGAAAUGAUCAUAUAUGGCAUAAGGUGGCCGGUCAUGUGCUACUUUAGAGUGGUGUGAACCCAAAUGUUAUAAAGUUUAACUCCCAUUUAAUGAAGAAGUCAAGUGGGCAAGUGGGUAGAAAAGCACUUAAGUGCUUUGUGAUAUUUUGAUGAGUUUUGUGAGCAAUUCCCACACUAAGAACCGAUCACUCUCCCUCUCUCAUUCACUCAUCUGAUUUUUGGAGACCUCUCAAAGUGUUCUCUCCAUUUUUCAAGCCCAAGAACACCAAGGAAACUUUGAGGCUAAGUCUUGGUCUAGGAAGUAUUUUCCCUAAGGUAAACUUUCACUAAUCUAGGCUUUUGUAAAGUUUUAAGCAUAGAGUUUCAAAUAGCUAAUUGACUAUGUUGUUGGGGGAAGUUUGUUAGGGUUUUUGAAAGGUUUUGAAGGAGUCAAAGCUUAUAGGAAGGUCCAAACCUUAAGCAAGAACACCAAAGAGUAUUGGCUAAGCGUAACUGGACUGAACAUUGGAGGGUGAAAACCUGCUGAGCGCUAAGGACUCCAAGUAAGAGCAAGGGCAAGGCAGAGCAGUGAGCGCUGGAGUCUUCCUUGCAAAUGUACAUGUGGACCGACCUUUUGGGAAGCCUUUUUAUUUUUGGAAAUGUUGUGUAAUUUUCCUAAACUAGGCUCACUCUAAUCUUUGUAAAACAUGUUUGUAACUAAAUGUUAAGUAUGGCCAUACGACUUUUUAAAAAGUUUUUUUUCUAUGGGUUUUUGAGACAUUUUGUUAAAUGAAAACAUUUAUAUUUCC